rnacentral:piRNA from 1 species
UAAAGUCAACGCUCAGCCAACCUUUGUUCUU